CGCCUGGGAAAAUGUUGCGCAGAUUCUAAAAUGGAAUGUUGUCGGCGGCGUGAUUGAGCGCGAGGGGGUGUGUGAGCGUGAGUAAGACAGGGACCAGCAGCAGUAGGAGCCACCACCGCACCCGCCGCCUUCUUGCAGCCGGUCCCCCCGCAGCGGUACGGGGAGCAGCCGCCUCCUCCUUCCCCCUGCAUGGAGCUCUCUGCUAUCGGGGAGCAGGUGUUUGCGGUGGAGAAUAUCAGGAAGAAGCGCAUAAGGAAGGGUAAUGUAGAAUACCUGGUGAAGUGGAAAGGAUGGCCCCCAAAAUACAGCACAUGGGAGCCGGAGGAUCACAUCCUGGAUCCUCGCCUGGUAGUGGCUUAUGAAGAGAAGGAAGAGAGAGACCGUGCAUCAGGAUACAGGAAGAGAGGCCCUAAACCGAAACGCCUCUUAUUACAGCAAAACUUAAACCAUGCUCAGGCCCAGAUGGAACUGGCCUGUAGAGGGUCCUUGUGGCAGUGGAGGAAUCAGAUUAGGGCAAGUGGGUUCCACUGUGCAGAAGGGAUGGAGAGGCUUUACGGUAUGGACCUGAGGAGUGCCCACAAGGGAAAGGAGAAGCUCUGUUUCUCUCUAUCACGGCGAUUUGGAGGAGGAGGAAGCAAUCUGGCAGGGGCCAAGCCAGGACAGACAGAGCUAUCGGAGAAGAGUGGGGGAGGUGUCCUACCAUUCCCGCUCCGGAAGCAGCGCAAGAACCAGAAAUAUCUCCGGCUGUCGCGGAAGAAGUUUCCACGCAUGUCAAGCCUGGAGAGCCGUAACCACAGGCGUGAGUUCUUCUUGAAGGAGUCAGUGGCACUAGAGACUAGGCAAACUCCCAAUGACUGGGAUUCGACGCAGCAUGCUAGCAAAGAAGGUAAGGCCAGGGACCCCAUUUGACUGUGAAUUGAGGGGCAUGAGCGUGAUGCUCUCUGAUUUUGUUUACUGGACACACACACUCUUCCUCCUUGCCUACUGCAUCCUGGGAGUGUGGUUUUGGGUCAGCUCUUUACAAUGUGUGCAAAGGCUAUAAUUGGCAAGGUUGUCCCCAAACACCUCUGCAAGUUGUCUGGAUGAAUAACUCGGUUAAUCUAUCGGUCUGUUUCUGUGGUGUUGCCACCUAUGUGUUCUUAUAUUGGUGACCAUCAUCAUAGUAUCAGAGUGCAUGUGAAAGCUAGUGCUGCUUCUCCUCCCAUCUGCUUUUCCAGAGAGAUGACAUGGCUGUCUGUUGCAGUGAGAAACUGUGUCUUGUCAUGUUCCAGCAUAUAGUUCUUCCCCGCACCCUGAUAAAGGGAACCUUAAAAGGGAUAAAUUCACAUACUCAUAAUCCUCUAGCAGUGCCACUUUGACAUUUGCACACAUGCCUCAAUGGGAACCCUGCCCUCCCUCUCUUCCACCCAAAAUCCCUUUACGUGAAUAUUGUGCUAAAUCACCUGUUUUGAGGGUGGGGUGCAGAGGUCACUGGAACUUCAUCAAAUGUCACAAGCUAAGUAGGGCAGUAAGUGGAUGGCAGACCUCCAGGCCAACCCCAGGAGCUGCAGGGAGGACUCAUGGCAUCUCAGGAGUCAUAUCCUUCAGAGUCAGUAGCAAACCACUACCCCUGCAUAGGUUGAGCUUCUGAAGGUGCGGUUUUCCUGAUGAGAUGUAAAAUCAAUGUCAUGGCACUCCUGGUAGGAGCAAGGUGUUACCCAAGUUAGAAUUAGGUUGGGCCAUGGGGCUAAUUAGAUUCUGGUGAUCUAAACUUUCCCUUCUAGUUUCAAUUGGAGAAAGUACUCAACUUCCCCCUCCACGACUGCCCUGUAGCGCCACUAAUGCAGAAUGGCUGUCGUGCUACAUAUUGAUGGUGGGUGAUGUGAUCCCGAACUGUGCAGUAUGUAAAGCAGUUUGGGAUCUGAAGGAUGAAAGGUGCUAGAGAAAUGUAAAACUAUUUUUCUAUUCUCCCCUCGACGUGUGCACGUUCGGAAUUCCGGUUAGUGUCUGGGUGAAUGGACUCUUUCCGAGGUGAGAGUAGACACACCUCAGAUAUCUGAGACAGAAGCCAGGAAAUGCCCAGUUAAGGGGUCCACAUUCCAUACCCAGGUGGGACAACAGGGUGCAGUACAGGUGUGGAUGCAGUUGAUGGCAGCCUCCCCUGGAUCCCCACCUUGUCCCCCAGCGAAGUGACAGUGACAGACAUCACGGCGAACU